rnacentral:rRNA from 1 species
AUCUGGCUCAGACGAACGCUGGCGGCGCGCUUAAGCAUGCAAGUCGAACGGCAAGAGGUAGCAAUACCUCCUAGAGUGGCGGACUGGUGAGUAACACGUGGGUGACAUACCCUUCAGAUGGGGAUAGCUAUUAGAAAUAGUAGAUAAUACCGAAUACGAGCACAGGGGUUAGAGAUCUGUGAGGAAAGGAGCUAAGGCUCCGCUGAAGGAAUGGCCUGCGGCCCAUUAGCUAGUUGGUGAGGUAAGAGCCCACCAAGGCGAUGAUGGGUAUCCGGCCUUAGAGGGUGAACGGACACAUUGGGACUGAGAUACGGCCCAGACUCCUACGGGAGGCAGCAGCUAAGAAUAUUCCGCAGUGGACGAAAGUCUGACGGAGCGACGCCGCGUGGAUGAAAGAAGGCCGGAAGGUUGUAAAAUCCUUUUGAAACUGAAGAAUAAGCGUUGUAGGGAAUGACAGCGUGGUGACAGUAGGUUUUGAAUAAGCAACGGCUAAUUACGUGCCAGCAGCUGC